UUUUUUUUUUUUUUUUUUUUUUUUUUUUUUUAAUUUUUUUUCCACACAAAGAGCCGCCGUACCUGCGGUGAUGCGAGCGGCCGGCCCGUUUCCAUAGCUCCGCUCUGCCCAGCCCAGCACCGGCAGCUUAUCUGCCAUCAUCCCGCUCCUCCGUCCCUACCUGCCCGCGGCCGGGCUCGCUGGCAACGCAGGAGAAUGUCUUUUCCCAGCAGAGCCCUGCGAGGAUUUCUUCCUGCUGUGAUUUUGUCUCGUUUCCAAAGGUUCUCGUAUAACCGGUGCUGAGGAAGCAGAGCACAAAGCGGGGCAGCUACAGGAGCUUCCCCGAGCAGGGGAUGGGGUGAGAGGCUGUCCCAGCCUGGAGGACACCCCGAGAGGCUGUCCCAGCCUGGAGGACACCCCGAGAGGCUCUGCUGCUUCAGUCCUGAUGAAGGAAAGGUGAGGGGAGGCAUCAAAAAGGACUCAUGUGUCUCCCUAGCCAAACUCCCUAGCCAAACUCCCUAACCAAGCUCCUCCUGGCUCAGCCACCACAGGGUGGUGGAGGGCAGAAUUUUCUCCCCAGUGAGGCAGAUCCUGCCUGGGUUGGAGCUCCGUGGGAGCCCAGAACCACAGCCUCUGAAAACAGGCACAGAAAUUGGGCUGGAAAGCCUGCUCCAGGAGGAGUGGGGGUGUUUGUGGCCUCCUGAAGGGGUGACUUGCUCCAGUUCCUUGCCUUUUGCAGGUUGCCUCGGCAAGGAGCAGAAGCAGCGGGCGUGCAGAUGCAUGAGGAGUCUCUGCUUCAGCCUUUGUCAUGGUGAAGACACAUUCCAGGUAGCACAAGCAGGAAAUCGUGAACUGAAUACCCUGACAUCCUCCAAGUGAGGGUCUUACAUCCUUCCCUGCCUCAGCCAGAGCCACAGCCAGCGCUGCACAUCCCACCCAUCCCAUCCUCCACUUCCCAGCCCCAGAGCUGGAUCUGUGGGCAAAGCCAGGACAGAGAGCUACCAGCCCCUGGGUUGGUCAGAGGACUGUGGCCAUGCCAGCAUCACACCCUGCAGAGCCCAGCAGGACAGCAGCACACACAAUAAAAGCUGCUCAGCACUCUGCAUCCUCUGACUGUCCAUGUAGGAAAGGCAGAUCCUCACAUGGAUCCAUCCACAACUUCCCAAGCUGGGAUUGUUACCAGUGAUAGCUCAUCACCAAAAUCUCUGAUUUCAGAGGGGCUGUAAUUAUUUUUCUCUGGUGACCAGCAGCAGGACCUGGGGGAAUGGCUGGAGCUGUGUCAGGAGAGACUUAGGCUGGAUAUUUGGAAAAGGUUCUUGUCCCAAAGGGUGGUCAGGCACUGAGCAGGUUUCUCAAGGCAGUGGUCACAGCCACAAGGCUGACAGAGCUCAGGAUGAGCUUGUCAGUGCUCUCAGAUAUCCCCUGGGAUAUCCCCUGCAGGGCCAGGAGCUGGACACAAUGACUCUUAUGGAUUCCUUCCAGGUCAGGGCAUUCCAUGAUUCUAUGAUUCUAUGAUUUGGGAAUUUGGGCUCCAUCUGAAAGGACAGGGAGCAUCUGUUAGCUUGGGAAGAGAAGUGUUUAUUUUGAUUUCUCUGGUAUUAGAGGAACUUUGUGACUUUUCACUUGCCAUCUAGUAAAGUCAAUUAUUUCAGUAGUGGAUAAAACCAAGAGCCUCCUGCUGUUCAAAGCAACACUUUUUUGUUUCAGAAAGAACAUCUAGAACAGUUCAUUUGGGUUGACCCAAAGUUAUUUCUUUCCCCUGGGUUUUUGAUUAAACAGCCCAAACAAUGCAACCCCACUCAUGCUCCCAGCCCAAGGAUACUUUUUGCCACACAUCAAGUGCCUGCUUGAAAUUUUCCAUGCUUUGUGGCUGAGUCAGACUACAUUUUUCUCUCCAAAAUUUAAGCAAAAACUCAUUUCUGAGAAGAGAGCUUUGCCCACCAGGCAGGACCAUGAAGCUUUCCCACAGCCUUGCCUGGAAUCAGGAAUGAGAUGGCUGUGCUGGGCCUUGCUCCAUUUCCCAAGGAGCUGCACAUGCAUUUGGGGGAAUUGCCAGCCUCUGGGAAUGGUUGUUUGCAGAGGAGUUUGCAGCCUGGAAAUGUCACAGAAUUUGCUCAGCCUCUGGAAAACCAAGAUAUUCCAGGGAGCAGAGGGCAGCCACGAGGAUGGACAGGGUGAAGCAUCUCUGUGCCCAGCAGCUGAUGCCCAGGGAAAGGACAGAGCCAGGGUCUGCAGGGAUGAGAUGCUCCCAGCCCUGGUAAAGUGACUCAAGGACUUUGCAAGAUGGAGAUGGAAUGUUUGUGUUUUCUCUUCUUUCUGGCUUUUUUUUUUCUUUUUUUUUUCUUUUUUUUUUCCUAAUCUCUCUCUGCCAGGUUUGAAAGCUGUACCUGCAGGACAGUUCAAACUCUGGUGUGACCUCACCUGCCUCACACCUCACCCAUGCUGGUGCAGCCUCCUGGAUCCCACCUGGGGGCAAAGAGAGGUGAUGAUGCCACGGUUGCUGCAGACAGAACCUCCAGGACCUCACACCAUCAGAAGGGCUUCGUUUCCCAGCAGAGCUCCAGAGGCAGCUGGAGAAGGAGGCAGGGGACACCCAGUGAAACCAAGCAAUGCCACUGGGGCCAAGGAAAUCCACAGGGCCCUGAAAAAGGAACAGGACAAGGCUGGCAAGCUCAGGAGUGCUCAUGUCCCACCAUGGCCGUGCUUCCUGAGCCGUAUUUCCAAACUGUCCCACGAGCCUUGGGUGGCACCUGGGCACGGGGCACUGUGCCAGCCCUGUGCCUGCCCUUCAGGAGGGCUGCAGAGGGAAAGCCCCAGGGCAGGUCCUCAGCUUUCUGCAGCUGCUGCUGGGCUGAAAACUGUCUGUGCUGGGCAGCAAAGGCACUGCCACCCCACCUGUGCCCACAGCAUCGUCUCACCCAGGUGGGACAGGCUGUGACCUGGCUGUGGGAGGAACCAAAAGGCUCCCAGGCAGCAAAUGCAGCAGCCCAGGCUGUGCUGGGUGUCAGCUCAGCUCUGCUUGGCACAGACAUGACUCAGGACAAGCAGCACACUCCUCCGAGACAGCUGCAGCAGCAGGCAUGGCAAGUGAGGUCCAUUUCCCUCUUUUCCCUGCUGUCCUGGAGCUCUGACACUGCCAAGAAAAGCAAAGAUGCCCAAAAACUGUGACUGGAAUAUGAAUGUGAUGUUCAGGCUGUGGCAGUGGCUGUCACCCAGCUUGAACUGCCCAGCCACAGAGAUCCAUCCUGAGCUGCAGGCAGCAGGGGCGAGGCCAGCCCAGCUGAAAAACCUUUCCUGCAGCCCCAGCCCUCCUGUCCCAGCCUGCCCACAGCCCUCUGCUUGCCCACGGAGCUCUCCUGCCUGCCUGUGCCACAGCCCGCUGUCCUUGGCAUCCCCAGGGCACAGCAGAGGCUGAGGCCGUGUCUGAGCAGAUGCUGAAGGAGAGGGAGUUACCCACACGUGGUCAUGGCUGGGAAAGGUCCAGGCCACUGGGUCUGCUCACGGUGGAGAGCAGAGUAAGGGAUGUGGAGGUGAGAAAUCCACCAGCUCUGAGCACAGGCGCUGCACCCCCAGGCAGUGAGGGGGUGCCAGGGCUGGACACUCCUGCCUGAGGGCUGUGGUCAGUGGGACUCCACCAGCCUCCAGCUCUUUGGCCCUGAAAAGGACCAGAAAGCUCAGGAAAAGCUUCUGCACACUAUAUCCAGCAGAGCAGGGCUGCCUGGCCCUCCCUUUCCACGGGUGUAACUCCUCCACACUCAGCCAGCUCCAGCUCCACAGAGCCCAGCUGAAGAGCUGCCUCGGGUUUUCCACCCUCAACACACCAGAGCAGAGGUUUGGGAUGAGGCAGAAGGGCCACGUUGGACUGACAACAUCCAUGGAACAAGACUGAGGUCCCCAGGGUGCAGCACCCACGUGUGAACCAUGCCUUGCUUGUAGGGUGUGGGAAUUCAGGGCUUCCCUCUGGCUGCCCUGGCAGGUCUGGAACCCUGGCAGGGGUCAGGAACCCCCCUGGACAGAGCCCCCAGAGACACUGUCUGUGAUCUCUGUCCAUGGAAAAGAGUUUUCAAUCUUACAGGAUGAAUUACCAGCUCUGAGUGUUUGAUAUAAGUAAUAAUUAAGUGUGGCACGGGUGUAAAAGUAAAAUUUUAGGGCACAAGAUGGAGGAAAUUGGGUGUGCCUUGUCCUUUUUCUCCUUCUUCAUGCCCUCCAUGUUUCACUGCGGUGUUGGCAUUUUUCUGUUGGUUUAGGCUGGGGACACACUGUCCAACGUAGGUGACAGAUAUUGGCACAUUAUUGUAAAUCCAGCACAGGUAGUUUGUGGUAUUUAAUGUUUGUACCAUCCCACUGAGGGCAGAGCCCCACACGCUGCCCUGCAGGACAGAGCUGCGGCAGGGCAGCAGAACAUGUUAGAGAUAAACAGAAUAAACAACCUUGAAACAG
rnacentral:lncRNA from 1 species